UGACACUUUGUGACACAUAUUUAUGUAUGUGUAUGUAUGUGUGUGUGUGUGUGUGUAUACACACACACAUAUAUAUAUCAUAUAUAGGCACAUAUAU
rnacentral:miRNA from 1 species